CAUGUGCACGCUUGUCAUCUUUUGUUUCUCCAACUAUGUGCACACAUUGUAGGCAUCCCCUUUGUUUAUAAAGUCUUUUUUGUAUGGAUUUGAUUGAGGAUUGCUAUGCUUUCCUUGUCAGAGGGGGGGCUUAUUCUUCAUUUACCUUGUUGUUGUUU
rnacentral:rRNA from 1 species